AGGUCUUGAAAUGGAAUCGAGUGAACCGGAGACCCCGAAAACGGAAACGCAGGGCGACCGAAGAAGUGUUUGAAAAGGAUUUAAUGUCCAUCAUCAUCUGUGGUGCAUUAUGAGAACCAAAGAAGCCCUGAGAACCAGUAGGAUCGACCAAGAGAUGUAGCCACAAUGGAAGAAUAACCAUAAGGGCGCGUGUUUAGAACAUCAGUGUGGUGUCUGUGGGCCAGCUGAAGUGUCCCCAGCUCUAAGACUAGGGAGACGGCCCAAUUACCUUUCCGGCAGGUCCCAGCCACUCCUAACACCUGUCUCCUGGGCUGACCUAGGAAUCUGCUGUGUGGGCCACUCUGUCCCAGGCAAAUUUCACCUCAGGUUCUGUUGCAAGUUUCCACUAGGCUCCUCCAAAGAGAGUUUUCAUUGAAGUCAUCGGAUGCUAUUUUAUUGAUUUAGGUUCAGAUCUUAAUUAAAGUGAUCUCAAUUUGCA